GAAUCUUGGACAAUGGGGGCAACCCUGAUCCAGCGAUGCCGCGUGGGUGAAGAAGGCCUUCGGGUUGUAAAGCCCUUUAGGCUGGGAAGAAGGUGCUGAGUUGAAUAGGCUCAGUUACUUGACGGUACCAGCAGAAUAAGCACCGGCAAACUCUGUGCCAGCAGCCGCGGUAAUACAGAGGGUGCAAGCGUUAAGCGGAUUUACUGGGCGUAAAGGGCGCGUAGGCGGCCGUAUGAGUGUGAUGUGAAAGCCCUGGGCUUAACCUAGGAAGUGCAUCGCAAACGAUACGGCUGGAGUACAUGAGAGGGUAGUGGAAUUUCCGGUGUAGCGGUGAAAUGCGUAGAGAUCGGAAGGAACGUCGAUGGCGAAGGCAGCCACCUGGCAUGAUACUGACGCUGAGGAGCGAAAGCGUGGGGAGCGAACAGG
rnacentral:rRNA from 1 species